AUGCAGUCGAACGAGAGAGAGGGAGCUUGCUUCCUCCAUCGAGUGGCGAACGGGUGAGUAACGCGUGAGGAACCUGCCUCAAAGAGGGGGACAACAGUUGGAAACGACUGCUAAUACCGCAUAAGCCCACGGCUCGGCAUCGAGCAGAGGGAAAAGGAGCAAUCCGCUUUGAGAUGGCCUCGCGUCCGAUUAGCUAGUUGGUGAGGUAACGGCCCACCAAGGCGACGAUCGGUAGCCGGACUGAGAGGUUGAACGGCCACAUUGGGACUGAGACACGGCCCAGACUCCUACGGGAGGCAGCAGUGGGGAAUAUUGCACAAUGGGGGAAACCCUGAUGCAGCGACGCCGCGUGGAGGAAGAAGGUCUUCGGAUUGUAAACUCCUGUUGUUGAGGAAGAUAAUGACGGUACUCAACAAGGAAGUGACGGCUAACUACGUGCCAGCAGCCGCGGUAAAACGUAGGUCACAAGCGUUGUCCGGAAUUACUGGGUGUAAAGGGAGCGCAGGCGGGCGAUCAAGUUGGAAGUGAAAUCCAUGGGCUCAACCCAUGAACUGCUUUCAAAACUGAUUGUCUUGAGUAGUGCAGAGGUAGGCGGAAUUCCCGGUGUAGCGGUGGAAUGCGUAGAUAUCGGGAGGAACACCAGUGGCGAAGGCGGCCUACUGGGCACCAACUGACGCUGAGGCUCGAAAGUGUGGGUAGCAAACAGGAUUAGAUACCCUGGUAGUCCACACCGUAAACGAUGAUUACUAGGUGUUGGAGGAUUGACCCCUUCAGUGCCGCAGUUAACACAAUAAGUAAUCCACCUGGGGAGUACGACCGCAAGGUUGAAACUCAAAGGAAUU
rnacentral:rRNA from 1 species